CGCGUAGGUGGUUUGGUCAGUCAGAUGUGAAAGCCCCGGGCUCAACCUGGGAACUGCACCUGAUACUGCCAAACUAGAGUACGGCAGAGGGAAGUGGAAUUUCCGGUGUAGCGGUGAAAUGCGUAGAGAUCGGAAGGAACACCAGUGGCGAAGGCGACUUCCUGGACUGAUACUGACACUGAGGUGCGAAAGCGUGGGGAGCAAACA
rnacentral:rRNA from 1 species